rnacentral:rRNA from 1 species
UACGUAGGGGGCUAGCGUUGUCCGGAUUUAUUGGGCGUAAAGAGCUCGUAGGCGGUUCAGUAAGUCGGGUGUGAAAACUUUGGGCUUAACCCAAAGCGUGCAUCUGAUACUGCUGUGACUUGAGUUCGGUAGGGGAGUGGGGAAUUCCUAGUGUAGCGGUGAAAUGCGCAGAUAUUAGGAGGAACACCGGUGGCGAAGGCGCCACUCUGGGCCGAAACUGACGCUGAGGAGCGAAAGCAUGGGUAGCAAACAGG